GACGAACGCUGGCGGCGUGCUUAACACAUGCAAGUCGAACGGAAAGGCCCUGCUUUUGUGGGGUGCUCGAGUGGCGAACGGGUGAGUAACACGUGAGUAACCUGCCCUUGACUUUGGGAUAACUUCAGGAAACUGGGGCUAAUACCGGAUAGGAGCUCCUGCUGCAUGGUGGGGGUUGGAAAGUUUCGGCGGUUGGGGAUGGACUCGCGGCUUAUCAGCUUGUUGGUGGGGUAGUGGCUUACCAAGGCUUUGACGGGUAGCCGGCCUGAGAGGGUGACCGGCCACAUUGGGACUGAGAUACGGCCCAGACUCCUACGGGAGGAAGAAGUGGGGAAUAUGGCACAAUGGGCGGAAGCCUGAUGCAGCAACGCCGCGUGCGGGAUGACGGCCUUCGGGUUGUAAACCGCUUUCGCCUGUGACGAAGCGUGAGUGACGGUAAUGGGUAAAGAAGCACCGGCUAACUACGUG
rnacentral:rRNA from 1 species